AUGAAGAUGGAGCUGGAAUCACUGGGUCUCUGGCCAGGUUCCCUUCCUGUAAGCAACCCCAUGAAGAUGGUGUCACUGUGGCGUUUCCCACCCCAGCCUGAACUGAUAGACAGCAUAUCACAUUUUCCGUCGCCAUCGUACUUUCAGCUUCACCCGUUUUUCAUAUGGAAGCCGGAGAACGACAUUAUGGCACGGCUGAGGAACACCUACGCCUUGCCUUGUGUUAAAGGUUGUCUUCAGCCUCAGGUUACCUCUGCAGGUGUUGGCAGACCUCGUGUCAUUGUGGGACUCACUGGACAGUACUACCUGUUUUCAUCCAGGCUGUGCUGCAAAGUCUGCAAGAGAAGAUGGUUUGCGGACAAUCCACAGUGGCUGGAAAAGCUUCCAAAGAGGUUUACAAAUGUGUUGCCAGCAACGCUGACCUACAAGAAGGCCAUUUGUAAAUCAGUCAUGGACGAACUAAGACGCACUGGGAACUCCCCCACAGACAUAACAAAUCAAGUAAUGGAGGUAAUGCACCUUAAGUAUGAACGUGCCAACCUGGCUUACCUACUCAGCUGCCAGAACAUUAUGGAUGGUGAGUCUGGAAAGUACGGGCAACAAACCAUCACACAGUUCAUACGAAAGGAAACGAAACCAGCUCCUUUCGGCGAAUAUGGUGAUUCGGACGGCUGGAACGGGAUUUCUGUUUCGUCACACUACCUGAUUGACUGUCUACUGAGCGAGUACCAGCACCAGGAAGGAGCCAUCAACAAACUGCUGCAAGGCACUUUUGGACAUGCUUUCCGCUCAGACCACACCCGCAAGGUUGCACGCAAGGUCACCUUUUCAUCUGGAGCCAUGUCAUCAUAUGCAGUGAUGAAUGAACACUGGAUGAUCGUUUCAUGGGUGAUGGUACAGUCGGAGACAGAAAAGUCACUGAGGCCCAUGUACGAAGGACUGUCUAACCGGUACGACACUGCGGGCAUAGAGAAGGCCCGGUACCACUGGGUAGACAGAGAUUGCUGUGCAGCCUUUAAGGUGGCCGAGUGUGCACAGGGAGAGCACCUACAGUGGGAAGCUUGGCAGACGUCUGAUGUGAUAACUGCUCAGGCCACUUCUGGGACUUUGCUGAAUGUCUGUGCAUCAAGGGCCUAUUACAACACGGCCAUAACCAUCAAACUGGAUCUGUUCCACUGCAUGCGCCGGUUCCUCCGUGAGUGCGUCUCAGAGCAUCAUCCCCUGUACAGUUCCUUUGCCCAGUUCCUGUCUGCAGCCUUCUCUGUGGUGGAUCAGGAAGACCUGCAGAGGCUGAAGGAUGCCUACACGUUUUGUGGCAUUCAACCUGCUAAUCCCACUAAACAGCACAUUCGUGAACACUGCAGGACCAAGAUUCCAGGGCCGGAUGAGUUAAUUCAGAGAGUGGAGGCGGUUUUGAAACACUUCUACCUCGCUGAAGAUCCAAAUGGGACUCGUCUGUUUAAGCCCUCUAUGUUAAAGGUGUGGCGGAUCCAGCGUGUGCACAUCCUGCGAGGUUGUCUGAGUGACCCAGAGGUGGAAGGUGGGAUCCUGUACAGACAUGGAGGAACGCUGCAGUUGAACCAUGUGAAGGGCGAAGGUGCCAAAGUUCCUGUUUGGAUCCCCAUCAGAGGCACAUCUCAGCAGGAGGGUUACCACUUCCACCAGGCUCAGUGGGUCACAGGAACAUGCGUUUCUCCAGAGCUGUUUCAGGCUCAAGGAAUGACUGGGGUGGCUCGAUGGAACUACCAGCGGCUUGUGGACUUGAAACAGCCAGGGGUUUCCCUCCCAGCUGCCUUUGACCCAGCUUUGAUUGCAGACCUCAAUGCAGCGUCUGGACGUGUGUUUGGGACUGUGAAGUAUCCUGCUCUUCAUCUGUGUGGCAAAGACACUGGGGAGAAGUUUGGCCUGGAGUACGUGGAGCCUGGUACCCGUCCUGUUCCUCUGCAGUGGGAUAAGCACAGGACCAAGACGGACUCAACACCUGCCCCAAGUCCACCUCCUCGGAGCAGUUCACCUGUGGCCCAGGCUGAAGCUCUACAAGGACCCCCCACCGCUUCACCAAAGCUGUUUUGUUUUUCACCACGUCCUCCGGUGGAACCUGCAGAUGAGACUCCAGCACCAGCAUGUGGGCCUGUCAAAGUUCAAGAAAGCAUGUUUCCACCACCUCUGCCCCUGAAGCCCUCACCAACUGCUGCUCGCACUGGACCUGUAAAGACAGGAGGACGGGUUUUUGUGUUGGACCACAGGCGCUGGCCAGCUCCUAUGAGGAAGGUCAUCGAUGACUUGCUGACCAAAUACCAUGGACAGAAGGACAUGCUCAGGCUUGUGGACCACGAGUAUGCAGCUCUAGUUCACAAGUCCUGUACGGAUCCGAACAGUUUAUUACACCCCACAACCAAAUUGCACAUUUCCCAGUACGUUAAGCACCUUAGCAAGGCUAUGAACACCAGCUCUUCUCUGAAUGUAAGUCCAGAGAAAGUACAAGAGACACAACAACUCUGGCACACUCUGACAGCAGGAAGUGAGACCACCAACGUGCCUGUUGUGGCAAUGCCUUCUCCUACAACAAUUCCACCCCCACCUGUUCAGUCCCCUGCCAACAUAUCUUUAACACAGGAGGCUAUUGAAAAAAUAGUUUUAGGCAUUAUGGAGAAGCAGCAGCAGCAGAGGCAGGAAGAGGAGCAAAAGAAGGUCCGGACAAAAACCUGUCAGUCUUGUGGGCAGCGCAAAUCGAGGUACCACAACGAUGGUUCCUCGUUCCACUUCUUCUACCAGCAAGGUCCCAUCAGGUACUUUUACUGCUCCACAAAGGUUUUUAAAACCUAUGCUGCAGAAGGUCUCACCAAUCCUGCAAUGCCAUUUGCAGACUUUGCCAAAACAGACUUUUUUCAGCGGGAACUGGACGCUACCAAGAAAAAGGUGGAGGAGAAAGGGCAACAGAAAAGAAAAAGAACUGAGCCUGAGCCUCCUCUUGCAUCUCCAUCCACAGGACGCAGGUGUGGCUUCUGCCGAAAAGAACUGAAACAGGGCCCCAACAGCCCUCACAUACACACCGGCUUCCCUGGUAUUGCUGGCAAAUACAUUUACUGCCCAGCAAAAGUUCUCUCCUUGUAUGAGGAUAAGGGUAUGGAGAGAGAGAUGACCUGGAAGGAGUUUCAGGCAUCUCCUUUCUUUAAUAUGGAAAGAGAGAGAUGGGCAGUAGAGAAGGGAAAGCGGUGAGAUAUUCAGUGAUAUUUGCACAUUAUUUCUUUUUGUAAUGAUGUUCCUGUCACUUUUGGAUUUUUUUCUAAUUGACACAUAUAUAUAUACAUAUACUUGUUUCCAUUGUAAAUAGUUAAGCUGGUUUUAUACUAUAUUUUAGUUCAUCAAACACUUUGUUACAUUUUUCUUAUUUAUAAAUAUUUAUUUUUUCUUUGCAAAUAUGUCUCCCUGCUUUUGAACUAUACUUUAGUUGAUCAAACACUUUGUUACAGUUUUAUUAUUUAUAAAUAUUUAUUUUUUUCUUUGCAAAUGUGUCUUCCUGCUUUUGAACUAUAUUUUAGUUGAUCAAACACUUUGUUACAGUUUUAUUAUUUAUAAAUAUUUAUUUUUUUCUUUGGAAAUAUGUCUCCCUGCUUUUGAACUAUACUUUAGUUGAUCAAACACUUUGUUACAGUUUUAUUAUUUAUAAAUAUUUAUUUUUUGUUUGGAAAUAUGUCACCCUGCCUUUAAACUAUAUUUUAGUUCAUUAAAAGCUUUUAAUUAAUAUUGUAUGAAUGUCUCUUUGGAUUUAUUGCAGAAAGAGUACUUCAGUCUUCAGAAUUGAGUCAGAGGAAUGUUGCAGCUGCUCAGCAUGUUGGGCAGCUGCAAUUUCAUUGGCUGGCAGCUCAUGCCAGCUAUGCACAACUUGCCUCCGCACAACAAGCGGAGAUACUGGCCACUAUACCGCAAAAGGACACAGAAAGUGCAGGUUAGGAGGAUCCACAGGUUGGAGGAUGGAGAAUCUCCAGGUUGGUGUGUGUGUGUGUGUGUGUGUGUGUGUGUGUGUGUGGGGGGGGGGGAAUACAGGGAGGGCCAUGACGUUGUAUGCUUUGCGCUCCCUCGCGCGCGAACAAAUUUUACACCUUUUCCUCUUGCCCUUUUGCGCCCGGUCGCUAGCGGUGGAACCAAGGGCGUCGUCUUCUCCUCUGUCACCCUCGUCGUCUCUGUCUUCACCCCAGACGAGGUCUGCGGUGGAGGA
rnacentral:lncRNA from 1 species